GGUCGACGAUUCCUACGGGAGGCAGCAGUAAGGAAUAUCUGUGGCAAUGGGCGCAAGCCUGACCCAGCCAUGCCGCGUGCAGGAAGACGGCCUUAUGGGUUGUAAACUGCUUUUGUUAGGGAAUAAACCCCCGUACGUGUACGGGGCUGAAUGUACCUAAAGAAUAAGCAUCGGCUAACUCCGUGCCAGCAGCCGCGGUAAUACGGAGGAUGCAAGCGUUAUCCGGAUUCAUUGGGUUUAAAGGUUGCGCAGGCGGAUGUGUAAGUCAGUGGUGAAAUCCUACGGCUCAACCGUAGAACUGCCAUUGAUACUGCACGUCUUGAGUCUAGUUGAAGUGGGCGGAAUGUAGCAUGUAGCGGUGAAAUGCAUAGAUAUGCUACAGAACACCUAUUGCGAAGGCAGCUCACUAAACUAUAACUGACGCUCAUGCACGAAAGCGUGGGGAGCAAACAGGAUUAGAUACCCUGGUAGUCCACGCCGUAAACGAUGAUCACUCGUUGUUGGCGAUACACAGUCAGCGACCAAGCGAAAGUGAUAAGUGAUCCACCUGGGGAGUACGAUCGCAAGGUUGAAACUCAAAGGAAUUGACGGAAUCUCUAGA
rnacentral:rRNA from 1 species